rnacentral:misc_RNA from 1 species
GAUGAAGAACGUAGUGAAAUGCGAUAAGUAAUGUGAAUUGCAGAAUUCAGUGAACCAUCGAAUCUUUGAACGCACAUUGCGCCCGCCAGUAUUCUGGCGAGCAUGCCUGUCCGAGCGUCAUCUCAACCCUCGAGCCCCCCCGGGGGCUCGGCGUUGGGGACCGGCCCCGCCCCAGGGCGCGCCGCCCCCCAAAUCCAGUGGCGGUCCCGCCGCAGCCUCCCCUGCGCAGUAGCUUGCACACUCGCACCGGAGAGCGGCGCGGCCACGCCGUAAAACCCCCCGACCACGGAGCCCCGGCUCCUGAACGUUGACCUCGGAUCAGGUAGGAAUACCCGCUGAACUUAAGCAUAUCAAUAAGCGGAGGA